rnacentral:rRNA from 1 species
CCCGUUCCCAUACCGAACACGGAAGUUAAGCUUCUCAGCGCCGAUGGUAGUUGGGGCACGCGCCCCUGUGAGAGUAGGACGUUGCCAGGC